rnacentral:piRNA from 1 species
UGAUCGUUGCAAAUAUGCCGGUGACCC